GCUCCUACCUCCCGGCAGCCUCUCCAGGCCCAGAACUUUCUCCAGUCAGCCUCUACAGACCAAGCUCAUGACUCACAAUGGCCUAUUUAGGCCCAUACCCUACGUCACGGCAGCCUCCGCAGAUGAGGCUACUGCCUCACAACAGCCUCCACAGGCACAGCUCCAUCGUUACAAUGGCCUCUUUAGACCCAGCUCCUGCCUCCCAGCCUUCUCUCCAGGCCCUGAACUUUCUCAAGUCGACCUCACCAGGCCCAGCUCCUGCAUCUUGGUGGCCCCUCCAGGCCCAGCCUCUGCCUCCCGUCGGCCUCUGCAGUCCCAACGUCUGCCUCACAGCAGAUUCUUCACGCCCAGCAUCUACCUCACUGUGGACCCCCCAAGCCAAGCUCCCAACCUUUCAGCAGCUUCUACACACCCAGCUCCUGCCACCCAGUGGCCUCUUUAGGCCAAGCUCAUGCUUCACAAGGGCCUUUCCAGGCCCAACUUUUGUCUCAUGGCAACCUUCCCUGGCCAGAUUCCUGCCUGUCUCCCAGCAGCCUAGACAGGCCCAGGUCUUGCCUCACACUGGCCUCUCUACAUCCAGCUUAUGCCUCACGGUGGCCUCUCCAGGCCCAACUCCUGUCCCAGGACGUCAUCUCCGGGCCCAAAACUUACUCAAGUCAAACUCUCCAGGCCCACCUUCUGCUUCCCGGUGGCAUCAACAGGCCCAGCUUUGACUUGAGAACAGCCUCUGCAGGCCCUGCUCUUGCCUCCCAGGGGCUUUUUCCAGGCCCAGCUCUUGCCUCAUGGCAGCUGCCCCAGGCCAAAUUUCUGCCUGCCUGCCAGCAGCCUCAACAGGCACAGCUCCUCCCUCACAGUGGCCCAUUUAGGCCCAACUCAUGACUGUGAGGCCAUUUCCAGGCCUAGUGCCUGCCUCGUGGCUGACUCUUGAAGCCCAAAACUUCCUCAAAUCAGGCUUUUGCCCAACUUCUGUCUACUGUCGGACUCUACAGGUCAGCCUCUGCCUCACAGUGGACCCUCCAGACCCAGAUGGUGUCUCACUGUGGCAUCCUCAGGCGAAGCUCCUGCCUUUCGGCAGCCUCUCCAGGCCCAGCUCCUCCUGCCUCCCAGUGGCCUCUUUCGGCCCAGCCCAGCUCAUGCCUCCCGGCGGCCUUCCCAAGCCCCGCUUUUGAC
rnacentral:lncRNA from 1 species